rnacentral:rRNA from 1 species
UACGUAGGCGGUCUUGUGUGUCGGAUGUGAAAGCCCAUGGCUCAACCGUGGAAUUGCAUCCGAAACUACAAGACUAGAGUCCAGGAGGGGAGAGCGGAAUUCUGGGUGUAGCGGUGAAAUGCGUUGAUAUCCAGAAGAACACCGGUGGCGAAGGCGGCUCUCUAGAAUGUGACUGACGCUGAGGUACGAAAGCGUGGAGAGCAAACA